GGACGGAACUCUGGAGAGACCAGAAAUGGCACCGAAGGGGCAAGGUAGAGGAUGCAUCUACUCAAACUCUCAGGUAAAAGGACAGAGCGAAAGAU
rfam:Streptococcus sp. HSISM1 chromosome, whole genome shotgun sequence.